rnacentral:tRNA from 1 species
GCAUAGCUCAGUGGGUAGAACAUCUGCUUCAUGUAUAGAUGGUCCCAAGUUCAAUUCUUGGCAUGUCUGCUUAAGCA